rnacentral:rRNA from 1 species
GACGAACGCUGGCGGCGUGCCUAAUACAUGCAAGUCGAACGCAGUGGGGACGGUUGAGUAACACGUGGGUAACCUCCCAUCAGAGGGGAUAACACUUGGAAACAGGUGCUAAACCGAUACUGAUGGAUGGACUCGGUGUGCAUUAGCUAGUUGGUGGGGUAAAGGCUCACCAGGGCCACGAUGCAUAGCCGGCCAGAGAGGGUGAUCGGCCACACUGGGACUGAGACACGGCCCAGACUCCGACGGGAGGCAGCAGUAGGGAAUCUUCGGCAAUGGGCGAAAGGCUGACCGAGCGACGCCGCGUGUGUGAGGAAGGUUUUCGGAUCGUAAGACUCUGUUGUUAGAGAAGCGUUAUCUAACCAGAAAGCCACGGCUAACUACGUGCCAGCAGCCGCGGUAAUAC